rnacentral:rRNA from 1 species
CGGGUGAGUAUAAUGUGGGAAUCUGCCUUUUGGUCUGGAAUAACACGAGGAAACUUGUGCUAAUACCGGAUAAGCCUUUACAGGGAAAGUUUUAAUGCCAAAAGAUGAGCCCGCACUUGAUUAGCUAGUUGGUAAGGUAAUAGCUUACCAAGGCAACGAUCAAUAGCUGUUCUUAGAGGAAGACCAGCCACAUUGGGACUGAGACACGGCCCAAACUCCUACGGGAGGCAGCAGUGGGGAAUCUUGCACAAUGGGGGCAACCCUGAUGCAGCGAUGCCGCGUGAGUGAAGAAGGCCUUUGGGUUGUAAAACUCUUUCGUCGGGGAAGAAAAUGACUGUACCCGAAUAAGAAGGUCCGGCUAACUUCGUGCCAGCAGCCGCGGUAAUACGAAGGGACCUAGCGUAGUUCGGAAUUACUGGGCUUAAAGAGUUCGUAGGUGGUUAAAAAAGUUGAUGGUGAAAUCCCAAGGCUCAACCUUGGAACUGCCAUCAAAACUUUUUAGCUAGAGUAUGAUAGAGGAAAGUGGAAUUUCUAGUGUAGAGGUGAAAUUC